CCCCGAUUGUUUAUUUUUCAGAAAAUCUGAAAUACACUGUGAUACGAACAGAAGCACUGAAUGUCAUCAGACUUAUAGUCAACAGGCUCAAAGAAAGCAGUAAACUAUCAAUAUUGUCGGACGCAAUCCACCAGCAGUUAAAGGAGUGUUUGACAGUUACGGCUACAGGAGAAACCAGCCCAGAGCUGCAGGAUAGUGCCAAGGAACUACUCAAAUCUGUUCACUGAUCAACAUCCUCAUCUCCAGUCCAUUUACUUGUCAUACAUGUCCCUCUAAACAUUUCAAGGUUACAGCAAACUUUAAAAAAAAAAUCAACUGAAAACUUGUGUUUAUUCAACAUAAAAUUCAAGGUUGUAUGGACAACAUUUGUCGAAGAAAAAAUGGGAAGCUGAUUUUAGUUUCUUUAGUAUCAUGGCUAAGGUUAAUAAACUUUAUAAUCUAUAUUGAACAGGAUCAUAAAAUGAUUCUAUAUUUCCUAUUUGGACCAUGCACAAACUUUCUAAAUGGAAACCUCCAGACUUUUGUAUGCAGUGCCAUUUUCAUUAUAGAAACUAUAAAUGGGUCCUUUAAGGAGUAUCUUUUCACAAAGUUGUUAACGUGCAUAUUGUAUGGGGUUUCUACCUGGAAUAUCUCAUCGAAGGGAUUUGAUCCCUGUAACCAAUAUUCUCCCAGGCCAGUGUUGUUCUGUGAUACAAAGCAAGCAGUGAUAUUUAAAGGACAGUGAAUACAAUAAAUUUGUGUAUUGCUUUGAAAAGGAUAACUUAUUUCAAUUUCCGAAACCUUCUUAAUGUAAAUCAGAUGAUUUCCCUUAGGGAAACAAAAUAGAGACUUGAUCGUCAGUGAAGUGAACUUUUCCAUGGUUUGUUUUUAAGAUAUACUCUAGGAACACUUCCAAUAAACUUUAUUGAGUGGAAAUUCUCUUGCUUUUGAAUUUUUGAGAAAUUUUUACAAGCACAAAUUUCCAUUUUAUAACUGUUUUCAGAUAUUCCAGAUAUACCAGAAGGAGGUUAGCUUUAUUCUAACAAAGUGGAGACAGAUUAAAUGGUUAUAUAUAGUACAUGUACAAAAAUAAUGUACAAGUGAAAGAUGGAUUUAAUUUAUUACAUAUAAUGUACUAGAAACACAUAAGAUGUCAGUUUGAGACAAUUUGAGGAUUUGAAAAGAAUAGCUUAGAAUACUUAUUUGGGUUCAGUAGUUGUUGAACAGACACAAUUUCUUUUCAACAAGAAAAUAUUUGGUGACAAUUUUUAUGUUUCGUGUUCUUGAGUUGUUGAAACACUGUUUGUGUACUGUUAAGACUAUCAGUUUGUUUCUGCAUCUACUGAACAGGAGUUGAAGUUAUUGAUUUAUGAAGUAAUAAAACAAGAUUCUAAAA